AACAACUCGGUGCUGUUCGACCAGGCCACCUACGACAAGCUGCUCACCGAGGCGCCCAAGUACAAGCAGAUCACCCCCUCCGUCCUCUCCGAGCGCCUCAGGGUAAACCCCUCCUUCCAGAUCCCGAGGACCAAGUGGUAGAUGAGUAGUGGGUAACUGUAGAACGAAUCGUAUUUGAUGCCUGCAGCUCCUUGGCUCAUCUGAUGGCCAAUUGAAUAGCAGUAAUGGCUUGAUGUGCCAGCCUCUUAUGGAUGUUCUGUGAAUUUUCAAUGCCGUGAACCAUAUCGUAAUCACUAAGCUUGACAGUUAUGAACAAGUCAUAGGUGGUGCCUGUAGAUAUCUAGUGUAUCAGAUUUUCAAUAGCUGAGGUUUUCCACACAUGCUGCAUUGAUCUAAGUUGCUGUAUGAACCCGUAUGCGAAUUAGAUAUUUUUGCGGUAUUGCUUGUCUUGUUUCAGUAUCUUGGUGAUCUUUGCAUACUGCCUUUUUUGUCAUGCAUUGCUCAUUAGGUUUUGCUUCUGUGGAAUUAGAUGUCUGCUGUUUUUACAAACGCUAGUUUAUGCAUCUGUGUUCUUGCUGGGUAUACUAGGUGUCACAGAGGAUGUUUACCAUAAACGCAAUCUUGUAGUUAUUGCCAUAACAUUGUGUAUUGUUUUUUAUCUUGAUAGAUGUGUAUCUUUUGUUUCCUUUUAAAAUGCCAGCUCUCGUAUAUGUUCCUGUUAUCUUUUAAGUAUGAUAAUUACAGUGCAUAGAACUUGAAUGCAGUCUGGUGAGGCAAUUGACUUGCAUAUUGUUUAGCAAUUAUCUUUCUUGCCACUGCAUGACUAAAUUUUUUAUUUCCAUUUGCUUGUAGAUCAAUGGUUCCCUUGCCCGGAGGGCCAUCAAGGACCUGAUGGCUCGUGGCCUCAUCCGGAUGGUCGCCCAGCACUCAAGCCAGCAGAUCUACACCAGGGCAACCAACACCUAAGGAUCCAGGGAGCUGUAAUGCUUUGUUUGCUCUCUGUAGGAGGAGCUCCUCUGCCUUA
rnacentral:lncRNA from 1 species